rnacentral:rRNA from 1 species
GAACGCUGGCGGAAUGCUUUACACAUGCAAGUCGGGCGGCAGCGCGGGGGCAACCCUGGCGGCGAGCGGCGAACGGGUGAGUAACACAUCGGAACGUACCCUGUCGUGGGGGAUAACGAAUCGAAAGAUUCGCUAAUACCGCAUACGACCUGAGGGUGAAAGCGGGGGAUCGCAAGACCUCGCGCGAGGGGAGCGGCCGAUGGCGGAUUAGCUAGUUGGUGGGGUAAAGGCCCACCAAGGCGACGAUCCGUAGCGGGUCUGAGAGGACGGCCCGCCACACUGGGACUGAGACACGGCCCAGACUCCUACGGGAGGCAGCAGUGGGGAAUUUUGGACAAUGGGGGCAACCCUGAUCCAGCCAUUCCGCGUGAGUGAAGAAGGCCUUCGGGUUGUAAAGCUCUUUCGGCAGGAACGAAACGGCGGGCUCUAACAUAGCCUGUCAAUGACGGUACCUGAAGAAGAAGCACCGGCUAACUACGUGCCAGCAGCCGCGGUAAUACGUAGGGUGCGAGCGUUAAUCGGAAUUACUGGGCGUAAAGCGUGCGCAGGCGGCUUUGUAAGACAGGUGUGAAAUCCCCGGGCUUAACCUGGGAACUGCGCUUGUGACUGCAAGGCUCGAGUGCGGCAGAGGGGGGUGGAAUUCCACGUGUAGCAGUGAAAUGCGUAGAGAUGUGGAGGAACACCGAUGGCGAAGGCAGCCCCCUGGGUCGACACUGACGCUCAUGCACGAAAGCGUGGGUAGCAAACAGGAUUAGAUACCCUGGUAGUCCACGCCCUAAACGAUG